rnacentral:tRNA from 1 species
GGACAUCUAGCUCAUAUGGUAGAGCAAUCGGCUCAUAACCGAUCUGUACGGGGUUCGAUUCCCUGGGUGUCAA